GACGAACGCUGGCGGCGUGCUUAACACAUGCAAGUCGAACGAUGAAGCUGGAGCUUGCUCCAGCGGAUUAGUGGCGAACGGGUGAGUAACACGUGAGCAAUCUGCCCUUGACUCUGGGAUAACUGCGGGAAACUGUAGCUAAUACCGGAUACGUGAUUUGAAGGCAUCUUCAGAUCUGGAAAGAAUUUCGGUCAAGGAUGAGCUCGCGGCCUUUCAGCUAGUUGGUGAGGUAAUGGCUCACCAAGGCGACGACGGGUAGCGGGCCUGAGAGGGUGACCGGCCACACUGGAACUGAGACACGGUCCAGACUCCUACGGGAGGCAGCAGUGGGGAAUAUUGCACAAUGGGCGAAAGCCUGAUGCAGCAACGCCGCGUGAGGGAUGAAGGCCUUCGGGUUGUAAACCUCUUUUAGUAGGGAAGAAGCGAAAGUGACGGUACCUACAGAAAAAGCACCGGCUAACUACGUGCCAGCAGCCGCCGUAA
rnacentral:rRNA from 1 species